rnacentral:rRNA from 1 species
UACGUAGGGGGCUAGCGUUGUCCGGAAUCAUUGGGCGUAAAGAGCGUGUAGGCGGCCCGGUAAGUCCGCUGUGAAAGUCGGGGGCUCAACCCUCGAAUGCCGGUGGAUACUGGCGGGCUCGAGGCCGGUAGGGGGAAGUGGAAUUCCCGGUGUAGUGGUGGAAUGCGUAGAUAUCGGGAGGAACACCAGUGGCGAAGGCGGCUUCCUGGACCGGUUCUGACACUGAGGAGCGAAAGCGUGGGGAGCGAUCCGG